rnacentral:rRNA from 1 species
AGUGAACGCUGGCGGUAGGCCUAACACAUGCCAGUCGAACGGCAGCACAGUAAGAGCUUGCUCUUACGGGUGGCGAGUGGCGGACGGGUGAGGAAUACAUCGGAAUCUACUUUUUCGGGGGGGAUAACGUAGGGAAACUUACGCUAAUACCGCAUACGACCUACGGGUGAAAGCAGGGGAUCUUCGGACCUUGCGCGAUUGAAUGAGCCGAUGUCGGAUUAGCUAGUUGGCGGGGUAAAGGCCCACCAAGGCGACGAUCCGUAGCUGGUCUGAGAGGAUGAUCAGCCACACUGGAACUGAGACACGGUCCAGACUCCUACGGUAGGCAGCAGUGGGGAAUAUUGGACAAUGGGCGCAAGCCUGAUCCAGCCAUACCGCGUGGGUGAAGAAGGCCUUCGGGUUGUAAAGCCCUUUUGUUGGGAAAGAAAAGCAGCAGGUUAAUACCCCGCUGUUCUGACGGUACCCAAAGAAUAAGCACCGGCUAACUUCGUG